GACGAACGCUGGCGGCGUGCUUAACACAUGCAAGUCGAACGGAAAGGCCCUGCUUGCAGGGUACUCGAGUGGCGAACGGGUGAGUAACACGUGGGUGAUCUGCCCUGCACUUCGGGAUAAGCCUGGGAAACUGGGUCUAAUACCGGAUAGGAGCCAUUUUUAGUGUGAUGGUUGGAAAGUUUUUUCGGUGUAGGAUGAGCUCGCGGCCUAUCAGCUUGUUGGUGGGGUAAUGGCCUACCAAGGCGGCGACGGGUAGCUGGCCUGAGAGGGUGGACGGCCACAUUGGGACUGAGAUACGGCCCAGACUCCUACGGGAGGCAGCAGUGGGGAAUAUUGCCCAAUGGGCGCAAGCCUGAUGCAGCGACGCCGCGUGGGGGAUGACGGCCUUCGGGUUGUAAACUCCUUUCGCUAGGGACGAAGCUUUUUGUGACGGUACCUAGAUAAGAAGCACCGGCUAACUACGUG
rnacentral:rRNA from 1 species